rnacentral:rRNA from 1 species
UGCAGUCGACGGUGAUGUCAGAGCUUGCUCUGGCGGAUCAGUGGCGAACGGGUGAGUAACACGUGAGUAACCUGCCCCCGACUCUGGGAUAACUGCUAGAAAUGGUAGCUAAUACCGGAUAUGACGACUGGCCGCAUGGUCUGGUCGUGGAAAGAAUUUCGGUUGGGGAUGGACUCGCGGCCUAUCAGGUUGUUGGUGAGGUAAUGGCUCACCAAGCCUACGACGGGUAGCCGGCCUGAGAGGGUGACCGGCCACACUGGGACUGAGACACGGCCCAGACUCCUACGGGAGGCAGCAGUGGGGAAUAUUGCACAAUGGGCGCAAGCCUGAUGCAGCAACGCCGCGUGAGGGAUGACGGCCUUCGGGUUGUAAACCUCUUUUAGUAGGGAAGAAGCGAAAGUGACGGUACCUGCAGAAAAAGCACCGGCUAACUACGUGCCAGCAGCCGCGGUAAUACGUAGGGUGCAAGCGUUGUCCGGAAUUAUUGGGCGUAAAGAGCUCGUAGGCGGUUUGUCGCGUCUGCUGUGAAAUCCCGAGGCUCAACCUCGGGUCUGCAGUGGGUACGGGCAGACUAGAGUGCGGUAGGGGAGAUUGGAAUUCCUGGUGUAGCGGUGGAAUGCGCAGAUAUCAGGAGGAACACCGAUGGCGAAGGCAGAUCUCUGGGCCGUAACUGACGCUGAGGAGCGAAAGCAUGGGGAGCGAACAGGAUUAGAUACCCUGGUAGUCCAUGCCGUAAACGUUGGGAACUAGAUGUGGGGACCAUUCCACGGUCUCCGUGUCGCAGCUAACGCAUUAAGUUCCCCGCCUGGGGGAGUACGGCCGCAAGGCUAAAACUCAAAGGAAUUGACGGGGGCCCGCACAAGCGGCGGAGCAUGCGGAUUAAUUCGAUGCAACGCGAAGAACCUUACCAAGGCUUGACAUAUACCGGAAACA